UCCCCUCAGAACUCAUCUCGUUGAGGGCCAGCGAAUUUACCACCGCAAUGACAAGGCCCAGAACCUACAAAUAAAUUCACAAAGGCAUUCAAAUAAAGCGGCUACUGGAAAAAUAGUUGUUCCGUGGAUAGUUUUGGUGGAAAGAAGAUAACGAAAGAUAACCAAGACAACUGGUCGUCGCGGUCGCACUGUGGGUGUGUCCAAGAAGAAGUAAGCUGCCAACGUUCCCCACAGUGAGAUCGCUGAUUCUACUUUAACUUUUACAAAAACCCCAAAAAUAAAUUGAA